AAUAAAAAAGGCUUGGAAGAAGGUCCAAUCUUGAGUCGGAGAGGUCAGAAAUAGGAUCCUAUGCCCGGAUACGCUGGAGUAAGGCCGGAGAGGCCUCAAAACCAUGGAUAUGAGAAGAUCUGAACAAACAUCAUUGAGGUCAGACCUCGAAACUUCAAACGCCCAAGGCUUAAGGUGGAGAGGGGUGAGUACAGGCCAUCCAUGGCCUGAGGAGCAAUGGAUUCCAGUGAAAGUGCGGUUGAAAGGGGUAUAAGAUGGCUAGAGUUCCGAAUAACCUUCGAGAGUGUUUUGAGAGAUGAGAGUAUUCAGAGGCAAC
rnacentral:lncRNA from 1 species